rnacentral:rRNA from 1 species
CAGCAGCCGCGGUAAUACAGAGGGUGCGAGCGUUAAUCGGAUUUUCUGGGCGUAAAGCGUGCGUAGGCGGCUUCUUAAGUCGGAUGUGAAAUCCCUGAGCUUAACUUAGGAAUUGCAUUCGAUACUGGGAAGCUAGAGUAUGGGAGAGGAUGGUAGAAUUCCAGGUGUAGCGGUGAAAUGCGUAGAGAUCUGGAGGAAUACCGAUGGCGAAGGCAGCCAUCUGGCCUAAUACUGACGCUGAGGUACGAAAGCAUGGGGAGCAAACAGGAUUAGAUACCCCUGUAGUCCCUGUCUCUUAUAC